ensembl:lncRNA
CAGAUGACAUAAUGGUAAACACAGUAAGGUUCAUGAUGUUUUCAUCUGGAAACGAUCCAGCUGUCUUAAAGGAGGUGCCACAGAGAGUGCUUUUUCCACACUCUGCAGUGUAACAUAUCCCAAACCGCCUCAGCUGGGUUGAGGUCAGGUGAUUGUUGAUGUGAGGCCAUGUGCUGCAGCACUCCAUCAGUUUGUAUCUCGGUGAGACAACUCUUACAGAGCCUGGAGGUGUGUUUUUAGAUUUUUAUCCUCCCGCAAAGCAGAUGGUGUUCCCCCAACUGAACUCGAACCUGAAGGGAUGUUGGGUCACUGAAGAAUUAUGUUACUCUGCUGAUUAGAAUUCAUCAUACAUCGCCAACAGUGUCACUACCAAAGUCCGUCCACCAUUAAAGAAAGGUUGGUUUUUACUUUUUGCUUUCUUGGCAUUGUACUAAGCUGAUUGUAGGGCUAUGUCAGCAUGUGUGAGUCAACAGGAGUUCAGUGGGAAGCUCGAUGAGUAAUCAACCUUGAUGACGAUGCAGUAUUAGCUCACAGCUAUAUCUGCAAGCAGAUGAUGUCAUGGUAAAUAUGUUCAUAAGAGAUGAUACAUAGUGUUGCCAAUUAAAUGGAUUACAAGGUGGUCAGUGCUCGCUAGAUGUACACAGCAGUGAAUUCUUGGUGCAAUCCAACUUCGAUCAUUAAAUUCUAUCUAUCCAUUUUUUGUUGUUGUUGUUUUUUUUUUUAUAGCUUUUUUUCUUUCAAAAACACAACCUAAACAGAUUGUCAUAGCAUUUGCUAUGGGUAGUUCUUUAUUUACUGUGCUUGGGUUUGCUUGAAUCAACUGGGUGUUGUGUUUGUGGCGUUUCAAACGUUGCAGAGAGCCCUCUGAUGGACAAAAUAGGCAAAGCCAACACUUGUAGGAUGGAGGAAGGAUGUUUCUCCCAUUUCUUUUUAAAUUGUUACUUAUUUGCAGUUAUAAAUGCCAACACUGAUAAAUCAGCAAAUAGCUAAUAUUGCCCCACCAAUAAAUCAGUGAGACUCAUAUUUCGAGCUUCU